GAUGAACGCUAGCGGGAGGCCUAACACAUGCAAGCCGAGCGGUAUUUGUUCUUCGGAACAGAGAGAGCGGCGCACGGGUGCGGAACACGUGUGCAACCUGCCUUUAUCUGGGGGAUAGCCUUUCGAAAGGAAGAUUAAUACCCCAUAAUAUAUUGAGUGGCAUCAUUUGAUAUUGAAAACUCCGGUGGAUAGAGAUGGGCACGCGCAAGAUUAGAUAGUUGGUGAGGUAACGGCUCACCAAGUCAAUGAUCUUUAGGGGGCCUGAGAGGGUGAUCCCCCACACUGGUACUGAGACACGGACCAGACUCCUACGGGAGGCAGCAGUGAGGAAUAUUGGACAAUGGGUUAGCGCCUGAUCCAGCCAUCCCGCGUGAAGGACGACGGCCCUAUGGGUUGUAAACCUCUUUUGGAUAGGGAUAAACCUACUCUCGUGAGAGUAGCUGAAGGUACUAUACGAAUAAGCACCGGCUAACUCCGUG
rnacentral:rRNA from 1 species